rnacentral:rRNA from 1 species
AUGCUUCUGCUGCGCGCCAGCCCGGCGCCGGCGGCCGUCCCGAUCUCCUCCUUCUCCGCGGCGCCGGUGCCAGUGGCUUACGCAGCCAGGUCGUCCUUCUCCACCACCACGGCCCGCUGCUCCGUCGGCAACCUCUCGCCGGUCCAGUUCGAGCCGCUCCGCGCCGACGCCGACGCCGGCCCCGGCCCCGAUCCCGCCUUCCUCCAAGCAGCCGCGGCCACCGCCGACGUCGACGAGCAAGACCAGCCGCAGCAGGAGCAGGAGCAUGGCGGGAAGGAGGAGGAAGACCAGGGGAAGAAGGGCGGCAUCAACGUGCCGCGCCAGCGCUACAUCGCGGUGCCCAAGGCGGCGCUGCUCGACGCCGCCCUCUCCCUCUUCCCCUCCCAGCCCGCCGCCGAAGACUUCAGGCGAUUCGCGAGGUGCUUGGACGCGGUCCUGCACGCGGAGCACAAGGAGACGCUCGAGCAGAUGCGCGCCUACUACAUGCUCCCGGACGACGAGGACGAGGAGAAUGGGCCUGGCAAAGCCUCCAGCGGCAGGGCGUCGUCAUCGGUGAACGGCAGGGGCUCCGGGCUCUUCGGCAUGUCCCAGGACGGCGAUGACGACGACGACGGCAGGAUGUCGUUUCUCUCCCGAAGCCUGGACUGGAAGACUCUGCUCGGCUUAUCACCGGAUCCAGCUCCCAUUUCUCCCACCAGGGUUGCCUUUGCGACUCAUUUCCAGCGCGCCUUCAUGAACCUCCUGCGCAACGCUCAGUUCGAAGAGCUCUCCGCGCAGGACCUGCUCCUGACCUACUCCCUCAAUAGUGAUUACCUCCUGACGCUGCCAGUUUACGUCGACUGGAAGAAGGCAGCCGAGUCUAAUGCCAUCAUAUUCCGGCGUGGGUAUUCGACCGAGAGCCAAAAAGGCCUGCUGUUGGUGGAGAAGCUUGAUUACCUACAGUCCAAACUGUUGCAGAAAAUUUUCUUCAGCCUUUCCAAACCCUUGGGGAAACUGGGGAAAUGGACCAAUGAGGCAUUGAAAAAAUCAACAGGGAGCCCGGGAUUUCAGAUCUGGAUUGACAAAUUGAAGCUCUGGCUGAAAGAGCAAACUUAUGCAGAGAAUUCACUCUUGUUGAUAGAAAACUAUUCUAGGGGCAAGCUUACGCCAGAUCAAUUACCAGAUGCAGAUCUUCCUAUUUGGAUUGCUGCACAAAGGGCAGUCUCUCGUUAUGAAGGAUUCCUGUCACCUGUUGGUCCUCGCGGCAGACUCCUAAGAAGAGUGCUUACAUGGACAGGAUUAAUUCCAUCUCUGCCAGAGGCAACGCUGAAAUCUGAUACUGAAGCAAAACAAUCUGAAGGCUAUGUGAGGCCAAAUUUUCUGCCUAGAAUUACCCUUGCAAACAUAUGGGAGCCAGCAAGCAGAGAAGCUUGUGACAACAAUAUUUGGGAGAUAAUAAAAGCUUCUUUUGGCAUUUUAUUUGCCAAGUCUACUCUCCAGGAACCAGCAUUCGAAGAACUGAUCAUACUUUAUUCCGAUGAUUCUGCUCAAAGUAAUGAGAAGGAGAGUUCUGAGAUGCAGAUGCUGCCGCCGCAGUUGAAAAUUUACGAGAAAAUACCCAUCCCAGAUCUGCCAGUGGUUUUCCCUCACAAAAAGUUGUCAUUCCGCAUCCUUGAUACAGUAAGGCUUGAUAUAGCCACCGUUAUAGGAUUGUUGGCAUAUGUUGUCAACUACAAAUUUGAGAGUUUAGCCUCAUCUCCGUCAGCUUUCCUUCUUGAUCUAGCUGCUUUUACUGCACUCGCAAUACUCGUGUUCCGUGUGACUCUGGGAUACAAACAGACCAGAGAUAGGUACCAGCUUUUGGUCAAUAAGACGCUCUACGAAAAGACAUUAGCAAGUGGCUUUGGUUCAGUUUACUUUCUUCUUGAUGCUUCCGAGCAACAACAGUAUAAAGAAGCACUCCUGGCAUAUGCUAUGUUACUUGGCAGAAAUAAGGUGUCAUCUCGCUCAAGCAUCAGGGAUAUGUGCGAACAGUUUAUGUAUGAGAAGUUUAAUGCUAAGAUUGAAAUGCCUAUCGACAAAGCUAUGGAGACGCUGCUGCGGUUGGGUCUGGUGGUCGAGCUGUCAACUAACGGCAGCUCCUCCUCUGUAAUAGCUCUUCCCUGUCCAGACGCUUACGAGAUCCUCAAAAGCCGCUGGGAUAGUCUGCUGGAGCAUAAGACAUAG